UCCUCCAGGCUGGGGAUGUCCCCACCAACCUUGGGCCAAGGGACACCCACCCUCGCCGGCCUGCGCGGGGGCAUCGCCCAGCCACCCGGUCUCCCGCGGCCACAGCCUUCGCGCCGAGGCAGAAGCAGGUGACGGCCGGGAACCAGAGAGAAUGCGGGAGCUGAGCGACAGUAGGCUUCCUACUCUCCUCCAACCCAUCGUUGCUCGUACCUUCCGGCGCCUUCCCUCGGGGACCUGGGGCCACCUCGCUCAGCCUCACCGAAGCCCGGGGACCGCCAGGACUCACAGCAAAGUCGGAGUGAGUGGAAGCUUCUUCCUGCCUCUAGCACCUGCCGCCA